GAGGAAACUCUGAUGCAGCGACGCCGCGUGAGUGAAGAAGGUCUUCGGAUCGUAAAACUCUGUCCUUGGUGAAGAUAAUGACGGUAGCCAAGGAGGAAGCCCCGGCUAACUACGUGCCAGCAGCCGCGGUAAUACGUAGGGGGCGAGCGUUGUCCGGAUUUACUGGGCGUAAAGGGUGAGUAGGCGGUAAUAUGUGUCAGAUGUAAAAGGCUAAGGCUUAACCAUAGUUAGCAUUUGAAACUGUAUUACUUGAGUGCAGGAGAGGUAAGUGGAAUUCCUAGUGUAGCGGUGAAAUGCGUAGAUAUUAGGAGGAACACCAGUGGCGAAGGCGACUUACUGGACUGUAACUGACGCUGAGUCACGAAAGCGUGGGUAGCAAACAGGAUUAGAUACCCUGGUAGUCCACGCCGUAAACGAUGAGUGCUAGGUGUUGGGUAGCGAUACUCAGUGCCGAAGUAAACACAAUAAGCACUCCGCCUGGGGAGU
rnacentral:rRNA from 1 species